rnacentral:tRNA from 1 species
GGGCCGGUCGUCUAGCCUGGUUAGGACAUCGCACUGACACUGCGAAGGUCAGUGGUUCAAAUCCGCUCCGGCCCA